ACUGGGACAGGACAGCUCCUGAAUCAUGGACACUGGAGUCUAGCAGUCAGAGAUCACAGUGCAUCUCAGUGUGUGCAUUGCUGAAAUGUGAAUGACUAUUGUUCUUUGCAGUGUCACAGACACACUGAUAUUAGAGAUAGAAAAGUGACAUUAACUCAGAAAAUCCAUGGCCCUGGGGCCAGGGCAGGGC